UCAGAACUAUGGAAAGAACCAUGUGUGGAGUUUGGCACCACAGAUAUUCUCUGAGUGAUUGAAGUCUCUUCUACCAUGGUGAGUGGUACCAUGGAAGUAAUCUUGUCCCCAGGCCUCCUAAGCUUACUUAUGAUGAAGUGAUGAGACUCUUACCCAAGAAACCAUUACAGAAAAAAAAAUCCUCGCCUAAUAAAAUUGUGCCAGUGAACAAACUCUCAGAUAUAUGGCCAUAUUGACAAGAUCUGCAAUGGUAUCAAAAGAGGUCAAGCUAAUAACCUGAGGAAACAGGAAGAAAACUCCAAUUGUCUUAUACAGAAGGUCUACAAUCAAUAGGAUGAAGUCUAACACUGGCGAGAGUGGGGCCCUGGUCAUGCUGUAUUGGUUGGACGCCGGAGACUGAGCAGUCAUGGAGGUACCCCAGGCCUAUGUGACUAGCCCCCAGUAGAAACCCUAGAGACCAAAGCUCAGGGGCCUUGAAAGCUCCAUGAUAGAGAUGACAGAGCUAUAAGAUGAAAGCAGCCCAAAUCCCUGAGUCACCAAUGUUUGAAGAAGAGCUUCCCAGGAGAGGUACCAGACCCACAUGAGACUUCACAUGAUUAUAAAAUGAACUUCUAUUGUGUUGAAUCUCUGAACUUCAGGGUUGUUUUGCAGCACAGACUACAUUAUAGUGACAAGUAGAGGAAGGUACAGUAAAAGCCUUGCCAUCACUCCCAUUAUACAGAGGAAGAAACUGAGACCUAGAGAAGUUCAGAACCUUGCUACAUCAAUCAGAAGUACAAGCCAAGGCUCAUGAAGUGGUUUCCUUAUUUUCUCACCCCAAGUUAGUAAGUCUGUAACUUCUCCUUCACAGUGCAAUUUGUCACGCAGUCUAUGGCACUGUAGAAUUUGGCUAUAGAUCCCUAAGUCAGAAAAGUCCAUGUUUGGAGAACUACUAGUAAGUCAAGACAGAGGAGUGUGACAAAGGCUGACAAAACCCUACCUGCAGCCUGGAGGUCACAGGCAGCCUGCUUUUUGAGUCUCCCUGAAUGGAGGGGAAGGGGCUCUCCCUGAGGGAAUGUGCUCAACUCUGGGUCGUGUGGAAGAGUUAGGAAGUUAACACUCCAUGAGCGACCCUCAUCCAAUGUCGGCUGGGAAUGGGUGGAUAAAUACCCUAACUUUCUA
rnacentral:lncRNA from 1 species